UACGUAGGGUGCGAGCGUUGUCCGGAAUUAUUGGGCGUAAAGGGCUCGUAGGCGGUUUGUCACGUCGGGAGUGAAAACUCGGGGCUUAACCCCGAGCCUGCUUCCGAUACGGGCAGACUAGAGGUAUGCAGGGGGAGAACGGAAUUCCUGGUGUAGCGGUGAAAUGCGCAGAUAUCAGGAGGAACACCGGUGGCGAAGGCGGGUCUCUGGGCCGAUACUGACGCUGAGGAGCGAAAGCGUGGGGAGCGAACAGG
rnacentral:rRNA from 1 species